GACGAACGCUGGCGGCGUGCUUAACACAUGCAAGUCGAGCGGUAAGGCCCUUUCGGGGGUACGACGAGCGGCGAACGGGUGAGUAACACGUGGGUGACCUGCCCUCAGCUCUGGGAUAAGCCUGGGAAACCGGGUCUAAUACUGGAUAUGACUCCAUGACGCAUGUUGUGGGGUGGAAAGCCUUGUGCGGCUGAGGAUGGGCCCGCGGCCUAUCAGCUUGUUGGUGGGGUGANGGCCUACCAAGGCGACGACGGGUAGCCGGCCUGAGAGGGCGACCGGCCACACUGGGACUGAGACACGGCCCAGACUCCUACGGGAGGCAGCAGUGGGGAAGUCUUGCGCAAUGGGCGAAAGCCUGACGCAGCGACGCCGCGUGAGGGAUGACGGCCUCGGUUGUAAC
rnacentral:rRNA from 1 species